GCGCCGGGACGACCCGGCGCCACUUUUCCUGCAAACGGGGACGACCCCA
rnacentral:ncRNA from 1 species